rnacentral:rRNA from 1 species
UUGAAAGGGAAACGAUUGAAGUCAGUCAUGCCGGUGGGAAUCAACUUGGGGGAAACUCUGGGUGCACUUCUUCGCUUGGCAGGUCAACGUCGAUUUUGAAUGUCAUAAAAUAAUUGGGGGAAGGUAGCUCCUUCGGGAGUGUUAUAGCCCUUGAUAGAUGUGAUGUUUGAGGUCAGGGAUUGCAACGGAUACCCUUUGGGGCUAGCUGCCUGAUCUCUAAUUGGUGUUGGGUUACGGAUAGCAUGCUGACCGUGACCUAAUUACUGGUUAAAAGGUUAAAGUGUGCAUAAAUUCGUUAAGGAUGUUGACGUA